UACGUAGGGUGCAAGCGUUAAUCGGAAUUACUGGGCGUAAAGCGUGCGCAGGCGGUUUUGUAAGUCUGACGUGAAAUCCCCGGGCUCAACCUGGGAAUUGCAAUGGAUACUGGCAGGCUAGAGUGCGGUAGAGGGUAGUGGAAUUCCCGGUGUAGCGGUGAAAUGCGUAGAGAUCGGGAGGAACACCAGUGGCGAAGGCGGCUACCUGGACCAGCACUGACACUGAGGCACGAAAGCGUGGGGAGCAAACAGG
rnacentral:rRNA from 1 species